UACGUGGGGGGCAAGCGUUGUUCGGAAUUACUGGGCGUAAAGGGCUCGUAGGCGGCCAACUAAGUCAGAUGUGAAAUCCCCAGGCUUAACCUGGGAACUGCGUCUGAUACUGGAUGGCUUGAAUUCGGGAGAGGGAUGCAGAAUUCCAGGUGUAGCGGUGAAAUGCGUAGAUAUCUGGAGGAACACCGGUGGCGAAGGCGGCAUCCUGGACCAACAUUGACGCUGAGGAGCGAAAGCCAGGGGAGCAAACGGG
rnacentral:rRNA from 1 species